CUGCGGGCUGUCCUCUGGGGGCAGCCCGGCGAGCGAGUCCCGCUCCCGAGCAAUGCCCGGGUAUCAUCUGUCGGCACGGUGCUGCUGCCGAGCGGUCCGUCCCGCGGCCGCACUGCGGUGGCCGCUUGGCGAAAAAAAGGGGCGUAAAGAUUAAACAGAGGGGCGUCUGCUUCCCUCUGUUUACAUUUUUCUAUCUGAGUUUUUCUUGGAACUGAAGGCCUCAGGACUUCAGAACUUGUUUUUUUCUUCCCUAAAUCUUCCUUCCCUCUAUGAUAUUGAAGAAUCGUGAAGUAUCAUCAGUAAACACAUUUUUGUAUCUGGAAAAUGCAUUAAAAUCACCUAUGUAACCUGCUUGAAAGGUGCUGAUAACCGAAAAGAGAGAGAAAAAAAAGAAGAGAAACUAGGACAACUUUCCUAUGCAGGGAUGGGCUGGAGCCUGAUCUGAAUGGAGAGGAGGAAAGAGGGAAAGGCUGUGCAGCUGCAGCAUGAUUUCAUACUGUGAACACAUGACUCCAGUGGCUUCAAUCCUCUUGUAAGACUAUAUUUGCCAUAUGUGCAAAAGUGACAGUCAAAGAGGCUUUGUUACCAUGGACUUUUUUAGACAUCUACCCUUUCCCCAACUUGAGCACUGGCAAUGUCAGUUCUGACUUGUAUUAAUGGAAGUACUUUUUCUUUGAAACUAUAUUUUGAUUAAUUUCACAGGGUUUUAUUCACGUCCUUUGUUUUUGGCUAAGGAAAAAUAUGGAGCUAUGUGCAUGUGUGCAUUGCAUGCACACAUUCAUGAACAUAAAGAUUCAAAAGAAAAUGAGGGGAAAAUACCACUUCUGACCAAGCCUAACAAUUCUGAAAGGAAAAUUUAUACACAUUUUAUGCUUUUGUUAUUUAAUAAGAGGUGACACGCUGCCCUAGUGCCGACUUGUAGUAGAAUAGAUUUAAAAUUCUUGGACCAUCAGUAGCAAGAAAUCACAGGGCUGUACUUACAGAGGUCAUUAACUGUCCGGACAUCUGUUGGGUAACAAAUUCUGCCAAACAUAGAUCAUGAAAUGGUUCUUGAAUUAUGCAGAGGAUAAUUUCACAAUCCAGAAACCAGAGAAUUCAAGCAGAGAAAGAGCUGUGUAAGACCUUCUUAUUGCCAGUUGGGAAGGAAUUCACUACAGUGUCAGAAUUACAGGAAAGUUUGGUGCUAGUGGAAGUGGCCUGCUGGAUUGCUAGCAGUAGAAUAAGGAGCAGAUUUAGACAAUGGUCACAAUUACAGUUACAUACUCCACAAAGUAAUUGACAUUAUAGCAAAAUUGGCUGUAAUAAUUAGAGGGAUACUGUGACAAAAGUAAACUUCAAAUGUCUCAGUGAAAACUACUGGUAAAACAUGUUAGCACACAAGUAAUAAAUUUCAGUAUAAUAAAACGGGAAUUAGGAAACAAUAAGCAGAUGCAGAAAUGGGAAAAUUUGUGCUAUGUUGGAAACAAGCUAGAACAUUCUAAACAAUGUAUAAUAUAAAGCAUAACACAAUCUCAUUCCCCUUGAAAAAGGAAUACUGUCCCAUUUCCCAUAAGUUAACUGUAGUAGCCAGUUGGUAGAGGAUCACAAUUGAGUCCAAUUAUGCUGCACUGGACUAUAAUUGGGUUAAAGGGCUGCCAUUUACUUAUGAAAUGAGAGCUCAAAUGAUAUCUGUCAACCUUUGGAAUCAGGAGUUAGUCUGGCAUCAGGAGUUACUUAUUAGCUGCUACAGAAGUCCAGCACACAGCACAACCAAUCAUUGAAAACAUGAAGAGUGAAAACACUUGUCAGGGCAAAUGAGUUGUUUUGGCUUUUUUCCCUUGGACAGCUGAGGAAAGCCAUACUGAAUAACUAAGUAGAAAUGUCAAGAAAAACAUAUUGUAACUUCUUCUGAAAGGGAAGAUAAAGAGGACCUGGAAUGGAAGACAUGAAGAAAAAUAAGAUUUGAUCAAAGAAAAUAAAAUACAUUUAAAAACCCCUGCAAUACCUUGAAAGGUAAUGGAACGGAUAUAAUAGUUAAAAGCCUGGGAGGGUUGUCUCCUUUGGAUUGUUAAAUUUUAUCUUCCUUUGAGACCUCCAUUAUAUAAAUCACUCUUAGCUGUAUUCAGAACUCACCUAAACCAGUCAACAGGAAUGCACACAGGGCCAAGGUCCUAGGAAAAAAGAAUAAUAGAAAAUAGAAAUAUUUUAAAGGAGGGAAAGAACAGAAUAAACUCAGAGCAAAUGUUACAUUUAUCAUACAACCAGUGUACACACACACUCUGCCAAACCUGGAAAAGCAUACACUUAGUGUCAACCUGAAUUAUGGGAUAGGAUUUCUUGGAGUUUUUGCUUUGGACCCACGUUUGGAAAAUAACCAUAAAUGGUAUGUUGCCUUAAAAAUGGCUUACCAACAGGAAAAUAUUAGAACUGAUCCUGAAACAUUCAAGGCUUUCUGAUUGCAACAUCAGGAAAUUGACAGCCAUCUCCAACAACAAAAGAACUCAGCACGGACCAAACCAGAACUGGUUGGUGAAGACUGUUGUUAUGAAAAAAGGUUACGCUUGUAAUUCAGGGUUUGUUAUAAGCUGGUCUCAAGUCAAUUCUAAAAUUUUCCUAAUGAGAAAUGCUUUUGUGAUCUCAGCUCAGUAAGAAUUAUCCUUUUGUGACUUUCAAAGCUGUGUUUUAGUUGUCCUUCCUUCCCAUUUGAAGUAUUUCUAAAACAAGACACUAUUUCUCUGCAAAUUGGUGCAAGACAGAUUUUCCCACUGUGGCACCCAUUCAAGUUUUCUAUGACAACUAGGCCUUAUAUCAAGGUUUCAGUGUGUACAUAAAAGUGGGAAAAAAAAUCCUUUCACUUAAUUUUUAACCGCAUCUUUUGAAUAAUAUAUUCAGGAAACAGUCCCAAGCACCUUGCCAUAGGUGCUUGAAGUCAUGGAAUACAGAAGAACAGAUUUCUUCCCUGGAUGAAAGAGGCUUUAUCAGGUUUAUUUUAUUCUAGAAGACUUAUGUCUGUGCUUUAUAGAUGGCUUUUGUAGAGGUUUCCGAUCAGCUACUAGCUGAGAUUUGGUAAGUUUUUAUUAACUGCUAAGUGGAAAAAGAUGGACCAACUGGUCUGUAUUCCAUUCAACAUCAGUCAUUCCAGCUGCUUUGCAGGGAGCAACUGAGUGCAUCUUUCUUUUAGAGCGCAGUUUGAUUUUGGGCAAAAGAUGGCAAGGUAUAAUAAUGACAUUUAAUGACAUUAAUGACAUAAUGAUAAUGAACUUCUACAGCGUGGCAAUAUUUUAAACAAAGAACUCCCAGCUUUCAAAUACCACACACAGGUGUGAUACCUCAGUGGGAAGCAACUUAGGGAUGAAUGAAUAAUUCUGUCUUCUUGUUUACCAAGACUAUACGCAUUACAUUUGCCAUUAAAAAAAAACCCCAAGCACCAAAACAGACUACCUCAUUGCUUUGCCUCUCUGGGA